rnacentral:lncRNA from 1 species
GUCUCACCACCAAACAUAGCUUGCUUGAAAAGCAACUAAAUGGAAACAUUUCUUGCACCUAUAUUUUGACACUAAUUAUCAUUUGGGCAUUUAUAGAGUGCAUUGCUACUCCUAAGUCUAAAAAACCAAGACUUUCAAAAGUUUCCAUAUCUUGGCACCAAAAGCCAACUUAGUCCAGUCUCACCACCAAACAUAGCUAGCUUGAAAAGCAACUAAAUUGAAACAUUUCUUGCACCUAUAUUUUAACACUAGUUGUCAUUUGGGGAUUUGAAGAGGGCACUGCAGCCCCUAAGUUUAAAAAACCAAGACUUUAGAAAAUUUCCAAAUCUUGGCACGAAGCACCAAACAUAGCUUCCUUGAAAAGCAACUAAAUUCAAACAUUUCUUGCACCUAUAUUUUGACACUAGUCGUCAUUUCGGGAUUAAAAGAGUGCAAUGCAGCCUCUAAGUCNCUUGAAAAGCAACUAAAUUCAAACAUUUCUUGCACCUAUAUUUUGACACUAGUCGUCAUUUCGGGAUUAAAAGAGUGCAAUGCAGCCUCUAAGUCUAAAAAACCAAGACUAUCAAAAAUUUCAAAAUCUUGGCACCAAGCACCAACUUAGUCUACUCUCACCACCAAACAUAGCCAGCUCAAAAAGCAACUAAAUUGAAACAUUUCUUUUACCUAUACUUUGAAACUAGUCAUCAUUUUGGGAUUUAAAUAAUGCAUUGCUACCCGUAAGUCUAAAAAACAAGACUUUCAAAAAUUUCCAAAUCUUGGCACCAAGCACCAACUUAGUCCGGUCUCACCACAAAACGUAGCUUGCAUGAAAAGCACCAACUUAGUCCAGUCUCACCACAAAACGUGGCUUGCUCGAAAAUCAACUAAAUUGAAACAUUUCUUGCACCUAUACUUUGGAAUUAGUAAUCAUUUGGGGAUUUAAAGAGUGCAUUGCUGCCCCUAAGUCUAAAAAACCCAGACUAUCAAAAAUUUCCAAAUCUUGGCACCAAGCACGAACUUCGUCCAGUCUCACCACCAAACAUACCUUGCUUGAAAAGUAAGAAAAUUGAAACAGUUUUUGCACCUAUAUUGUCUUUUGGGGAUUUAAAGAGUGCAUUGCAACCCCUAAGUCUAAAAAACUAAAACUUUCAAAAAUUUCCAAAUCUUGAACCAAGCACCAACUUAGUACAGUCUCACCACCAAAAAUAGCUUGCUUGAAAAGCAACCAAAUUGAAACCUUUCUUGCACCUACAUUUUGACACUAGUCGUCAUUUGGGGAUUUAAAGAGGGCGUUGCAGCCCCUAAGUCUAAAAAACAUAGACUUUAAAAAAUUUCCAAAUCUUGGCACCAAGCACCAACUUAGUACAGUCUCACCACCAAACAUAACUUGCUUGAAAAGCAAGUAAGUGGAAACAUUUCUUGCACCUAUAUUUUGACACUAAUUAUCAUUUAGGCAUUUAUAGAGUGCAUUGCUACCCCUAAGUCUAAAAAACCAUGACUUUCAAAAGUUUCCCAAUCUUGGCACCAAACGCCAACUUAGUCCAGUCUCACCACCAAACAUAGCUAGCUUGAAAACCAACUAAAUUGAAACAUUUCCUGCACCUAUAUUUUGACACUAGUCGUCACUUAGGGAUUUAAAGAGUGCAUUGCAGCCCCUAGGUCUAAAAAACCAAGACCAAAAGUUUCCAAAUCUUGGCACCAAGCACCAACUUAGUAUAGUCUCACCAAAAAAUAUAGCUUGCUUGAAAAGGAACUAAAUGGAAACAUUUCUUGCACCUAUAUUUUGACACUAAUUAUCAUUUGGGCAUUUAUAGAGUGCAUUGCUGCCGCCAAGUCUAAAAAAAUAGACUUUCAAAAAUUUCCAAAUCUUGGCACCAAGCACCAACUUAGUCCAGUCUCACCACAAAACGUAGCUUGGUUGAAAAGCAACUAAAUUGAAACAUUUCUUCCACAUAUAUUUUGACACUGGUCGUCAUUUGGGGAUUUAAAGAGUGCAAUGCAGCCCCUAAGUCUAGAAAACCCAGACUAGAAAAAAUUUUCAAAUUUUGGCACCAAGCACGAACUUCGUCCAGUCUCACCACCAAACAUACCUUGCUUGAAAAGUAACAAAAUUGAAACAGUUUUUGCAGCUAUAUGUUGACACUACUCGUCAUUUUGGGAUUUAAAGAGUGCAUUGCAGCCCCUAAGUCUAAAAAACUAACACUUUCCAAAAAUUUCUUGCACCUACAUUUUGACUCUAGUCGUCAUUUGGGGAUUUAAAGAGGGCAUUGCAUCCCCUAUGUCUAAAAAACAGAGACUUUAAAAAAUUUCUAAAUCUUGGCACCAAGCACCAACUUAGUACAGUCUCACCACCAAACAUAGCUUGCUUGAAAAGCAACUAAAUGAAAACAUUUCUUGCACCUAUAUUUUGACACUAGUCAUCAUUUCGGGAUUAAAAGAGUGCAAUGCAGCCUGUAAGUCUAAAAAACCAAGACUAUCAAAAAUUUCCAAAUCUUGGGACCAAGCACCAACUUAGUCCACUCUCCCACCAAACAUAGCCAGCUCGAAAAGCAACUAAAUUGAAACAUUUCUUUUACCUAUACUUUGAAACUAGUCAUCAUUUGGGGAUUUAAAUAGUGCAUUGCUGCCCCUAAGUCUAAAAAACAAGACUUUCAAAAAUUUCCAAAUCUUGGCACCAAGCACCAACUUAGUAUAGUCUCACCACAAAACGUAGCUUGCUUGAAAAAAAACUAAAUUGAAACAUUUCUUGCACAUAUAUUUUGACACUAGUCUUCAUUUGGGGAUUUAAAGAGUGCAAUGCAGCCCCUAAGUUUAAAAAACCAAGACUAUCAAAAAUUUCCAAAUCUUGGCACCAAGCACGAACUUCGUCCAGUUUCACAACCAAACAUACCUUGCUUGAAAAGUAACAAAAUUGAAACAGUUUUUGCACGUAUAUUUUGACACUACUCGUCAUUUUGGGAUUUAAAGAGUGCAUUGCAGCCCCUAAGUCUAAAAAACCAAGACUUUCAAAAGUUUCCAN